GACGAACGCUGGCGGCGUGCUUAACACAUGCAAGUCGAACGAAGUGGCGAACGGGUGAGUAACGCGUAAUCAACCUGCCCUUCAGAGGGGGACAACAGUUGGAAACGACUGCUAAUACCGCAUACUGAAGGAGGGGAUUGCGUCUGAUUAGCUAGUUGGAGGGGUAACGGCCCACCAAGGCGAUGAUCAGUAGCCGGACUGAGAGGGUGAACGGCAACAGUGGGACUGGGACACGGCCCAGGAUCCUACGGGAGGGAACAGUGGGGAAUCUUCCGCAAUGGACGAAAGGCUGACGGAGAAACGGCGGGUGAGGGAUGACGGCCUUCGGGUUGUAAAGCUCUGUUAAUCGGGACGCGGUACCGGAAGAGAAAGCCACGGCUAACUACGUGCCAGCCGCCGCGGUAAUAC
rnacentral:rRNA from 1 species